rnacentral:sRNA from 1 species
UGCCAUCAUCUAACUUUGAUUGUGAGAUC